UGCUUCCUUUCUCAGCUGAACCCCUGCCCCCGAGAGCCCCCAGCAGUGGCCCCUGAGGAGGAGCUGCAGC
rnacentral:miRNA from 1 species